AGUGAACGCUGGCGGCAGGCCUAACACAUGCAAGUCGAACGGCAGCACAGCAGUAGCAAUACUGUGGGUGGCGAGUGGCGGACGGGUGAGGAAUACAUCGGAAUCUGCCUAGUCGUGGGGGAUAACGUAGGGAAACUUACGCUAAUACCGCAUACGACCUACGGGUGAAAGCGGGGGAUCGCAAGACCUCGCGCGAUUAGAUGAGCCGAUGUCCGAUUAGCUAGUUGGCGGGGUAAUGGCCCACCAAGGCGACGAUCGGUAGCUGGUCUGAGAGGAUGAUCAGCCACACUGGAACUGAGACACGGUCCAGACUCCUACGGGAGGCAGCAGUGGGGAAUAUUGGACAAUGGGGGCAACCCUGAUCCAGCAAUGCCGCGUGUGUGAAGAAGGCCUGAGGGUUGUAAAGCACUUUCAGUGGGGAGGAGGGUUGAUUGGUUAAGAGCUGAUUAAUUGGACGUUACCCACAGAAGAAGCACCGGCUAACUCCGUGCCAGCA
rnacentral:rRNA from 1 species